UACGGAGGAUGCGAGCGUUAUCCGGAUUUAUUGGGUUUAAAGGGUGCGCAGGCGGACCGUCAAGUCAGCGGUAAAAUGUCGGGGCUCAACCCCGGCCGGCCGUUGAAACUGGCGGACUUGAGUUGGAGAGAAGUAUGCGGAAUUCGUGGUGUAGCGGUGAAAUGCAUAGAUAUCACGAAGAACUCCGAUUGCGAAGGCAGCAUACCGGCUCCACACUGACGCUGAGGCACGAAAGCGUGGGGAUCGAACAGG
rnacentral:rRNA from 1 species